GUACUUCUAUGAGUAUAUUUAAGUUUUAAAUUGCAAUUAAAUGUGCUCAAUCAAUAUGAAAUGCCUACCUUCAUCUACUUUUAUGUCUAGACACUGAUGUUGUUUGGAUUCCACACCCACAUCUAUGUCAAUAUCCAAUCUGAGUGUUCUUUUGGGUGCUAAUCAUCUACAUUAAUAACAUGUGCACAAAUUAUUAAAGGGACCUUAAAUCUACGACUUCUUUUUCUCCAGAGUGUUUCUUCCCGUGGCACCCUUUCCUACAGUAAAUUCCCUUGAUUUCCCCUUUCGCACCGUGGUUUUGUUCUAGCAUUCUUCAAGCUCUCACGAAAAAUCAUUAAUGAUUCCUUCCAUUGCCCAUGCUCUGCAACAAAAUUACAUCGAACUCCUUUGAGGGAACUGCAGAUUUUGUAUAAACUGCAGUUCGCUUGUUACUUCUUUGUUCUUCUAAAUCUUUAUCGUCUCUGGAGGAAUUUUCCUCCCUCUCGGUCCUGUAGGUGAAGUCUCUCCUUACUUUUAUGUCUGCAACGCAACCACUUUCUCCUCUUAUCUCCUGAGGAAGCAAGUCAUUGAUAACCAUAUUGUCCAACAAUUUAUUAUUAUUAGUAGGGAGAAAAUUGCUUGUUUCUUCCAUUCAUUUCUUAAAGUUCGAGAUCGGGUGGCUAUCGUUAUAUUUUUCUGGGAUAUGAAGAGGGCUUACCGGAGAGUCCAAUAACCAAUCUGCAAGAUUAUUUAUGCUAUUCGAUGAGCUAAUCGAAGCGUAGGUACCUUUACAAACGGAAAAGCGUUGUUCAUAGGAGGAAUUAUGAUCAUUGGAAAUGCUAAUCAAGUUUGGAUUAGGUAGCCAUUACUUCCAAUGUCAUUACUUGUAGAAUUAUACGGUCUUCUUGAGUAAUAGUUAUCCGGUAUCUCACCAUUCUGGUCGAGAAGAAAGAUGAAGGGCAAACAAAUAAUUUUCAUCACUAUUAUCCAUUUAAUCUAUUUUGUAUCUGCCAUCGAAUCAUAAGCUUCUCGAUUAUUCUUCUGCUCUUCUUCCCUCACAGUUUCUGUUGUUCUCUUUAAUCUCCAUUUUAUACAAUUGUUUCAUUUGUUUUUGUAUGCUAUUCUACUUUGGUAUUGCUGUUUAAUUAUUUUGGGCUUUUUUUUUCUGAGGUAUCAAACUGAACUUUCUUUAAGGCCACAAUCUUCCUAUCAUCCCUGUUUCACGCUCUAUACACAUUGCUAUCAUAUUAGGACUUAUAAAUAUACUUUUUGCUUUGAUUGUGGUCUAAGAUAUUAGUUUAAACUUACAUUUAAAUUUUAGUUUUGUUUCCUUUUCAUUUGGUCUUCUUACCUCUUUAUUUUUGUGAUUCUUCUUAUCAGAAUAUCACUGCCCAUGAAACUAUGUUUAAUAUGGCAUAUGUGUGAUACUACUUGAAGCUUGAGUUUGUUUUGCCCCACUUUUGUGUGUGAUAAAAGAUCUCUUUAGACAAGAAUUGGAUUUUGUUAGGUUUUUAGGUAAAACUAUUUGAGCCACAGCCCACAAGUGUGUGGUGAAUUUCUUGAAAGAAAUUUCUUUUCGAUCAAACUUCUAGAGUCUUCUUUCAAAGCUUGAGGUUUGUUAGAUCGUGAUUUUAUGGCUAUACAGUUUGUGGAUUCAAGAGUAGUAUAUUCUGUUUGACAGAGAACUUUCGAUCCUUAUGGUCCCUCCAUGUCUAGGGAUUAAGACUGAUCCAAUAAAACUUUUUUCUUUUCUUAUUGUCCUCUUAACACCAGUGAUCAAUUUAAUUCGGAAUAUAACUUCAGUUUGCUAUUAAUUAUUUCCUUGGAGGUAUGAGUGGCUGGCAGGGCCUAGAUGUGCUUCAUGAGAUUGAUAAACAAGAGCAUAAGAUACAUCUUUUCGAUUAAUCCUACUUCUUCAGAGGAUAGCACAACCAGUAAUAUGCUGAAAUUGAACCUGCUCUAUGUGUAUGUCCCACACUUAGACAAGCACAUCAUCACAACUUGUGCAAGUUAGCAGUCAAUUACUUCAAUGACCUACCACACUAAGAGCUUAAGAGCACAAUCACUUGUUCCAACAUAUUCAAUUGCUAGACACUUAAUUGCUAUUGAAAGGCUUUAGGAAUGAUGAAAUAUGCGGAUCAUCGUGUCUUCCCUAUUGUUACAUUUGUUGACACUCCAGGGUCUUUUGCUGAUUUAAGAUCUGAAGAGCUAAGUUAGGGUGAGCCAAUAGGCCAUACUUUAAGGGUGUUUGGGCUGACAGUUCCAAUCAUAACAGUUGUAACUAAUGAAGGUGGUUCAGGCAGAUCUCUUGCCAUUGAAUGUGUAAACAAGUGGUUAAAGUUGGAAAACUCCACAACAUUUUAUGUUGCCAGUCCUAAAGGUUGUUCUGUAAUAUUAUGGAAGUCUUCACAAUCAGCUCCAAAGGUAUUUGAGAAAUAGUUGUUCAAGUUUGUGAAAUUAAUGGUUUAUCAUUAAUACAAUUCUGAUUGAAUAGGCAGCUGAGAAACUGAGGAUCACAGCUCAAGAACAUUAUAAACUCUUGAUAGCAAAUGCAAUUAUUCCAAUAAGUACCAUCUCUAUACUUUUCCACCUUUAUACUUAAUUUUGUUUCAGAGAGGAAAAAUUGGAAUCUAUGGUGAAGGGUUGGUGAUGCAAGUAGUGUGAAGAAAUAGUAGACACAACCUGUAUUCUAAGUUGAGCUUUUUUAUGCUUUUGGUGCUAUUGCACACUUUUCAUUUACAAGAAGGUUAGAUGCAAUUCUAAUAAGUAUUAACUACAUGACCUUUUCUCAAAUUUGGGAAAAAGAGAUUGAUGACUAGAAUCGGUAGUUUAAAGACUGACUGAUGUGUUUCUCAUACCUAAGCAGACAAAGAAGUGGGAAACGUGAAUUUUCCUUUUUGCGAGAAGUGAUUUACAAAGUAUGUUAGGAUAAAGUUUGAAUUUUAUGUAGUUGUUCUAGAGUUUUGUUGCUCAUGGUCAAAAAUGGAUUGAUGGGCGUAUUUGAUAGUUUUUUCAGCAUAUUCGUCGCAGUUGUAAUCCAUUUAUCCUUUAGUGCCACCUCUAUUUGUUUAUGGGUUAUCAAUCAUUAGGCAAUUGGUUAGUAGUUCGAUUAAUUCAUAAAUCCUGAUUGUUUGUAGCCUAAAUAGCAUGGCCCAUUGUGGAGAACUUGAGGUUCUAUUUUUUUAGCCUAAAUAGCACGGCUCAUUGUCAAAAACUUGAGGUUUUGUUGGUCUACAGACCUAAUUUGUGAUUAAUUAAGCAGGUUCCUUGCUGUAUCAAAUUAGUGAUAUCUUACAUGUUUGUUUUGCCUAAUAAUAAGAAAGGAAGUAGAAGAUCCGCCCUCUGUAUUUGUGAAUUAAUUUUGGUUAGACAUUUUUAUUUGAAUUUUAUUUGUCAAUAUUCA